AUGCAUAGUCUUAGCACACAAAAAAGAAACAACGUGGAAACGACCGUCCAAACAGUAAGGUUAUUCAGCGGAACGGUUCGUGGGCGAUUCUGCCCCAAAAUCGGUGGUACGGGAACGGAAACCGAUGUGAACAAGCCCGGUAUCGCCAUCGUCUUCGUUUCGGCCAACCUGACCACUGAUGUCAAGUCCGUCGAAAUGUAUCAAGAAGCCCUGCCGGAGGCCGUGCCCGGAGACAACGUCAAGAACAUGUCCGUCAUGGAACUGCGUCGUGGAUACGUCGCCGUGCUGGAUUGGCAUACCGCUCACAUUGCUUGCGAGUUCAGCGAGAUCAAGGAGAAGGUCUUUCGUAAUUUCCGGCAAGUCCACUGAGGAUCAUCCAAAGUCCAACAAGUCUGGUGAUGACGCUAUCGUCUUCCUGGUCCCACCCAAGCCUCUGUGCGUGGUAGCCGAAAAGGCCACCAAACAACAAUCGAUACUAGCGACCGCGAGGACAGUUCCCUUGAGUGAACCAGAUGUAGACUGUAGUCCCGAUUCACCCCAGAUUACGGUAAUAAAUAAAAGCCUUUAUUUUUGCUUAGUUUCUUUUAAUGCGGUCCGUUUCGAUGCAUUUGGUCCGUUGUGCGCCGGAAAAAAGUGAACAGUCUUGAAAGGAGCCGAUGUCCUCUGAGUCCUCCUCGUUCUGGAUCUGGAUGUCCGAGUGGGCUUUCCACUCCUUGUCCAUGUACACCUUACAGCCGAAGUCACUUAACGUCAUGCACGAUCGAGGAAUGAUCGGUCAGGGCCUGGUUGAGCACACUUUUGUGGCCGGUUCCAGCAUGUCUCCGUGCCAUCCGGAGAUGGGCACGAUAACGAUGGCGGCCGGGUUGUAGCCGAUUUUCUUGAUGUCCUUAAACUGACCUCGUUGAACGGGGCUCAGUCGAUUCCAUCUUGUUGACAUCCACGAUCAACUGUUUGACACCGAGGGUGAUGGCGAGCUAGGCGUUCUCUCGGGUCUGUCCGUUUUUGGAGAAAUUUUUUAUCACUAUCGAAUUCUCCGGUAACGGCGGCGAAGAUCAGCAUGGCACAUUCCGUAACGAAAUCCGUAACAGACGGAAUAGUUUGCUCCGGGUUUCGGCUAAGGAAACUUUAGCAGCAUUGUGGCGUGAAGAUAUUUCAAAUUCAUUUGUAAUCGCGCUCUUCUGUCAAGCACUGGUUUAUUCACAAAUUCCGAAACUCGGUGAAAAAAAACGAGAGGUGGAUUGAGUAACUUUGAGCCACACUGAGUA